UACGGAGGGUGCGAGCGUUGUCCGGAAUCACUGGGCGUAAAGGGCGCGUAGGCGGCUGGGGUAGUCCGUGGUGAAAGCUCGAGGCUCAACUUCGAGUCGGCCAUGGAUACUCCUCGGCUUGAGCACUGUAGAGGCAGGUGGAAUUCCGGGUGUAGCGGUGGAAUGCGUAGAGAUCCGGAAGAACACCGGUGGCGAAAGGCGGCCUGCUGGGCAGUAGCUGACGCUGAGGCGCGAAAGCUAGGGGAGCAAACGGG
rnacentral:rRNA from 1 species